GCCUAGCCCCUAGCCCAAUCCAUCUCUCAAAACUCACGCCCACCACACACUAAAACAUUCUAACCACUAUAGUAGAGGCGAUCAAAACACUCUUUGGAGCUAUACAGCCAGUACCGCAAGGGAAAGAUGAAAUAACAAUGAAAAACCAAGCACAAAACAGCAGAGACUAAAACUCGUACCUUUUGCAUCAUGAUUUAGCUAGUCUAAUUAAGCAAAACGACUUACAGUUUAACCCCCCGAAACUAAAUGAGCUACUCUAAGGCAGCCUUCAGAGCCAACUCAUCCCUGUUGCAAAAGGGUGAAAAGACCUUAUAGUAGAGGCGAUAAACCUAACGAAUUUAGUGAUAGCUGGUUGCUUAGGAAAAGAACCUAAAUUCAACCUUAAACUCAACACACAACCAAACCAAGUACCCCCUAACUUUAAGAGCUAUUCAAGCAAGGUACAGCUUGCCUGAAAAAGGACACAACCUACCAACAAGGGUAACGCCCCAGCACUCAACACAUAAGUAGGCCUAAAAGCAGCCACCUUAUAAGACAGCGUCACAGCUCACCAUCUAAGCCAAAAAUCCCCACAACAUCACAGAACCCUAACACACCACUAAGCAAUCCUAUUUCCACAUAUGAAUUAUUAUGCUAAAACUAGUAAUAAGGGCACCAACCCCUCUUUAAUGCAAACAUACAUCAGCACGGACAAACCACCGAUACUUAACACCCACUAACCACGCAGCUACAACACACCACACUAGAAAACUUACCUAACCAAAACGUUAACCUAACACAAGCGCAUUACAAGAAAGAUUACAAGGAAAAGAAGGAACUCGGCAAAUUUCAGCCUCGCCUGUUUACCAAAAACAUCGCCUCCUGCUUAAACAUAGGAGGUCCUGCCUGCCCAGUGACCCAUUCAACGGCCGCGGUAUUUUAACCGUGCAAAGGUAGCGCAAUCACUCGUUCUUUAAAUAAGGACUUGUAUGAACGGCCCCACGAAGGCUGCGCUGUCUCCUUUUCCCCAUCAAUGAACCUGAUUUCCCCGUGAAGAAGCGAGGAUAAGCCUAUAAGACGAAAAGACCCUAUGGAGCUUCAGAUUAGAUAUUAUAUGCCUCUAAAUCAGCAUACCUACAUAUCUACCUUCGGUUGGGGCGACCACGGAGAAAAACUAACCCUCCACGACAAACAAGCCAAAACACACAACUUAAAGCAUAAACAACUUAACAUUAUUGACCCAAUUACAAUUGAUCAACGAACCAAGUUACCCUAGGGAUAACAGCGCAAUCCAUUUCAAGAGCCCAUAUCAACAAAUGGGUUUACGACCUCGAUGUUGGAUCAGGGCAUCCUAGUGGUGCAACCGCUACUAAAGGUUCGUUUGUUCAACGAUUAAAGCCCUACGUGAUCUGAGUUCAGACCGGAGCAAUCCAGGUCAGUUUCUAUCUAUAAAGAGCCUUCUUCAGUACGAAAGGACCAAGAAUGCAUGGCCCAUGUCCUAAAUAAGCCAUACAACUUAUUAAUGAAUACAACUCAAUUAAUAACGACCUAACAAACCUAAUCCUAGAAAAGGAAUAAAAUAUUAAGUAUAUACACUUAAUAUUUUGUAAAUUCGGCAGAUGGUGGCUCCCU
rnacentral:rRNA from 1 species